UACGUAGGGUGCAAGCGUUGUCCGGAAUUAUUGGGCGUAAAGAGCUCGUAGGCGGUUUGUCGCGUCUGCUGUGAAAACUCGGGGCUUAACUCCGGGCCUGCAGUGGGUACGGGCAGACUAGAGUGCGGUAGGGGAGACUGGAAUUCCUGGUGUAGCGGUGGAAUGCGCAGAUAUCAGGAGGAACACCGAUGGCGAAGGCAGAUCUCUGGGCCGUAACUGACGCUGAGGAGCGAAAGCAUGGGGAGCGAACAGG
rnacentral:rRNA from 1 species